UCGCUGGAAGGUGAAGAGUUGAAUGGGUGGUUGAUUUGGAUGAAUUUGGACUUUGAUUGUUCUGCCAUUGGAGUAGUGUUUACGGAGAGUUGUGGGUAAGUUAAGGAACGAUUUUUGUGGUGAAAGGGAUGAAGAAGUGAAGAUGAAGAAGAAGAAGAGGGUUAUGAGAGAAAUUGAAAGAGUGAAGUAGAACCAGAAAGAUAAUUGAGGUUGUUGUGUUUUGGGUUUGUGGGAAGACUUGGUUUUUGUUUUGGUUGAGUGUUGUUUAGGUUGUUGUUGAUUUUGUUCUUCUGUUAAGAUCGCCAUGAAUGAGUGAUCAAGUUUGGGAAAGUUUUCAAAGGUUUCUUUUUUGGUUUCAGGCUUUAAUUCAAAAAAGAUGAUACCAUGAAAUCUAGAUCAAGGGGGACAUCAUCAUUGCAUUGCAUGGGGUGAGUCUUUCUACCAAAGGAAUAAGCUAAACAUCUUUGCUUUUUAGAUUUACCGUAGAGUUAAAGUUUGAUGUAUUUAGAUAACAUUAAUUUUUAGGGUGUGAUUGCAAUUGCAUUGCAUGAAAAAAGCACAGGAGAGGAUUCCUGGCUCCUCGAUUGGAGGUGUAGACAAAGUGAGAAGAGAGAAAUAUGUGAGAGAGUGUCAUAAGAGAGAAAUAGAGUAGAUUUAAUAUAUUGUUUGACAUAAAAGAAAGAGACACGAAAUAAAAAAGAAAAAAAUGUUGAAUAUAUUUAAAAGUACUAAAAUACCCUUGAAUUAAAAAACCUUUCACAUUUGCAUUUUUUAAAAUUUACUCAAAUCACAACACCAAAUCAAUAUUCCCAGCAUAAUACACUUUGUAAAAUAAACUCAUCAAAGCAUUAUUUGAAUUAGUUGUCCAGUUUUCUCCACUCCGUGUAUAUAUCCAUAAAAAAAUAAAUUUAAAACAAAAAUCAGGUUAGCCAAUUUUUUUUUAGUAUGUAAAGUUUUAUUUUAAUAAUAAAAAAAACAAAAUCUUUAUCAAUCCGCCAUGAGCAUAGCAAGUGUGACUAUUACCUUUUCUUCAUCCACCACACAGAUCCACCAAAAUACCAACAGCAUUUGAGAUGUUAUUGAGAUGGAUGCUGAGUGUUUCAGGUAGUAUAGAGACAAGGGCAUAUUAGGAAUAGCAGAAAAAAAUGCUUCUCUUCCAUC
rnacentral:lncRNA from 1 species